rnacentral:lncRNA from 1 species
GAAGGAAGGAAGAAAGAGGGUGGGGUAGAAAGUAAGGAAGGAAGGAAAAGAGAGAAGAAGAAAGAAAGAAAGAUGGAGGAAGAAAUAAAAGAAGGAAGGGAGGGAGGGAGGAAGGGAGCGAGAGCGCGCUGCCCUGUGGCUGACGUGGAGUCCCGGGUGCCCUCUCAGGUGGUCUGACUCUAUCUUGCACUAACCCAGCUCUAACCCAGGGAGGCAGGUCCCUCACUUCAGAUUCCGGAUUUGUCCCUCCUGGUCCUUGCUCAUGUCAGUAGGUGACUGAGCAGGUGUGAAGCACUUGGCUCACCUUCCUGCCCUCCUCUGGUGGUCUGCUCUUUGUUGGUUUGGUUGGUUGCUGAGGCUGGUUCCAGCUCCUGACCUCUGUCUUCUCCCUCUCUGUGUGGAACUCCUUUAACAUUCCAUGACUGUAGGUGUGCUCCUAACCCAUCCCUUCCCUUGGUGGUUGGAUUAAGUUUGUCUUUCUGCUGCUUCUGAAGGCUAUCCCUUGCGUGCAGAUUUGGGGUUUGGGGUUUCUGGGUCGCAGCACUAGAUGCGUCACCCACUGUAUUCUUGCUUCCAGAGUCUGUGAUGGGACAUUCCUGUCACUCUGAUUUGUGAUUCUCUAUAUCUUAGGGUUUUGUUUUACUUUCACUCUGCAGAUUUCAGUAUUUUCUCUUUGUCCUAGUUUUCUGCAGUUCUCAUCGAAUAGUCUUAGGCAUUAAAACUCAGGUGUGUGCUCAUUUAUUAUUCUUAGUGUUUUCUGAGAUUUCUGAAUACAGGAUUUUGUAUUUGUCACUGAUUAUAAAAGGUUCUUGGCCUUUUUACUUCUGACUUGGUGCUCCUUCUGGUAUUCCAUGUGAGUGUAACAUUGCUCCUCAGUUCCGGAAUGUUCUGCCGUAUCGGUUUCUCCUUACAUUCGAGUUUUGGAAGUCGCCACCUCUCCUUGGUCAGAGGCAUCUGUUCUGUCCUCAUCUGUGGCACACCUGGCAAUGUGGCCACUUGGGGACACUCAGUUGUCUGACUGUGCUUUGUAUUUCUAGCAAUUUUAUUCUUUCCCAAAGUUUCCUUUCUGCUGACACUACCCUGCUGCCUUGUAUGUGCUACUAUUUCAUUACAUGCCUUAACAUGCUAAUUAGAGCUAUUUAAAAUCCCCCGUUUGGUGUUUCCAGGGUUUGUGUUAUUUCUGAGUCCAGUCUCCUUUGUCUCCUCAAAUUGUGUUUCUGUCCUGCAUGUGGCAUGUCUUGCAGUUUUCAUUUGAAAGCUGGGCUGUUAUUUUGGUACUGUGAGCAUCUUUGGUUCCAGUCAUUUGUACCUUAGCUGAAAGACCUCCACAGUGACUGUAUAUGACCAUCUCUCCAGAUUUCAAGGUGACAGUUUACCCUGAAAAUUAAGUUGAAUGUCAGAUCAAGAGAAGUCCUUGAUUGUUAAUUUGUUCAGGUUUUCUUCACGUAAGAAUGGGAAUAUCUUUCAUUUCCUUAUACAUUCAAACCCAGAUUGGAAGUUUAAUUAUUAGAUUUUUAAUGCACUCUAGAAGAAUAUUGUUUUCAAUCACCACUCCUGAUCUAACAAACACAUAGGUAAACAGGCACUUUACUUCCUAUCCACCAUAAGUAUGGGUCCAUAUACACUUUAGAAUGGAGAAGCUAAUAAAAUCUACAAUCCUAAUUAAAGAUUUUAUCCAACAUUUCCACUUUUACAACUUCAUUAAAUACAAAGUAUGCACUAUUAGACAAAAGUAAAUGUAUAAGCAUGUGUACUGCUGAAGAUCAAAAUCCUCCUCCUCAUCAUCUCUUGUAAUACUCUAGAAAGAUCCAGAUUGGCUAUUAACCUGGGGAAAUGGCUGAACCAGUGCUAGAACAUCUACACUGUGUAGGUCACAAGAACGGCCCCAGUUCUUCAGCUCUCCUGUAUCCUCCCCCUGGUCUGGUGAGCGAGCCCAGUCAGACAGGCGGGGCUGCCUGGCCAGCCCCAGGGCACGUCCCACAAAGUGCUUGGUGUUGCUCACCCCUUCAGCUUUUGGGUUCAUGAUCCACAGCAUUUUUGUGGUGACACAUAAUUAAUAGCCCUUAUUUAUUUUUUAAGAGUAAUAUAUCCUGAAAGGAUGAUCUUCAC